UCUCUCCUCAAGCGUCAGGGAGAAAUGGAGAACGGGACGGUCUGGUCCAACUCCUCCGAGUCCUCCGACGACUCCUCCAGUCCAGCGCUGGCUCACCAGAGGCUGACGGCCUCCAACAUGCUGCAGACCACCCUCACCAGUCAGCUGUCGUCCACUCCACACAAGUCCAGCGCGUCCACGCCGUCGCUCUCGUCCAACCAAGAAGAAGAGGAGACAGAGUCCGGGGAGGUUUUCUCUCAGACAGAGUCGGUGCCUAAUGGCCAUCUGCAGACUUCCUGCUCUCGUAGCCCGGACUUUACAGUGACUGACAGGGCAUGUGUCCAAUCAGCUGACCUCUGUGAAACCUCCGCAGACCUGAGCUGCUCGUGCCCGGAUGUCUCGUCCGUACCCGCCGCGUUAGCGAGAGAGAUGUUUGAAAGCUGCACGCCACAGGUCUCAGCAGAGGUGAAGGCUGAUUCACCUGAGGAGUCGGUGCAGGAUAAAAGAGACAAAGCAGAGAUGGAGCACAGCACCGAAGAAGCAACGUCAGAGGAUGCCAAGUCUGUCCAGGAGCCAAAACAGCCCGAGGAAUCUCCAGCGGCUUCUUUUCCCACGUCUGCUAGUUUCACCCAAGAAGUCGAGACGGCGCUCGAAAGUUUCGACUUUCUCAACUGUUCUGACCUUGAUGAAGAGGAGGAAGACGAGGAACAGAAGGAAGACAAAGGAGAGAAAGAAGAGGAGAGCGAGCCAAACGAAGAGGACAAAGACGAAACAGAGGAAGAGAACAGGGAGGAGAUCUGUCACUCUGGAGGAAGUGAUGAUGAGCAGAUGGACGGUCUUGAGAUUCUUAUGGAAGCCCCAGAAGGAUUUAGGAACUCAGAUGAAGAUCGUUUCUCUGAAUCCCAGGAGUCAAUUACAGAGGAUGUGCUGGAUUUGGGACAGGUGGAAAUGCCAGAGGACACGGAGGAGCCUGGGGAGGAAAACAGAGACGAGCCACAAGAAGACGCAUCCCCCUGA
rnacentral:lncRNA from 1 species